rnacentral:misc_RNA from 1 species
GGAAGCUCUAAAAUGGAGGUUCAGGAUUCAAGAUGAAAAAGGAAAGGUUAGGAUUUAAAGAGACAAAAUCUGAGAGUCAGGAAUUAAAGAGAUCAAUAAUCAAGGGCAUAGAUUAAUUCAUGACUUUUUUAUCCUUUUCUUCUUGGAUCUAAAAGUUGAAAAUUGUGCCUUACAAACAAAAUCAAGGGUUGAGGUUAAAAGUGCC